rnacentral:lncRNA from 1 species
UUUUUUUUUUUUUUUUUUUUUUUUUUUGCUAAGAUGUGAAAUAAGCCAACAGAUGUAAAAAUAUAUUCAAUUUACAUUUUCUACAAUUCUAGUAACAAAACAUAAGAGAAAAUUUAAACUAUCACAUGUCAAUUUAUGUGGCCGUAACUUGUUUUUCUAUUAACCAUUAAAGAAGCUUUUGAUUUUAUUACCAUAAAUGUUAUAUUCCAUUUUUUCUCAUAUAUUAUAAACUUACUUUGGGCUUACUUUAAACUGCUUAUUGAGACAAGACUUUAAACUGUCUUGUAUUAAUAACUACAGUAGCAGUAUUUAUUGUCCAAGUAUUUAGAAUAUGUUUGCUCUCACAAUAGGAAUUGUAUGAAUCAGUAAGAAUAAUGGCAGAAAAAGUAGUAAAGAACUAUUUUUAACAUUUAGGUUUGCGGCUAAUGAGGCAAAAGACUUUUUCACCAAGCCUGACUACCUGCGUCAAUGCCUAGAACCCCCACAUGUGUACCAUAGCACAAGUGUACGCGUGCACACACACAGAAUAGUGUAAGAAACUAAAGAAUGGUUUGGUACAUUAAAACAUUUGUAUGUUAGCUGCUCAGCUAAGAACUUACCAGGUUUAACACUACCUGGUGCCUCCACAAAAGUAAUAGUUACACUGAUAAUUCAGUUUACAUUUUUUUUUUACUUUAUAAUGAUAUGAAAUUACUUUGGAUUUUUCGUUUGAUCUUACAAAUAGCAACCCAAGACUCUGAUAUGAUGGCAGUAGCUUCAAAUAACCAAAACUAAAUUCUAAGGAGAAAAUAAUAAGUGUGUUUGAACAAUUAAAGAAUUAAAAAGGUGAGGUGUGCUGCUAGCUCCACUGUUGUUAGAGAUAGUAAAUUCAUUUCACUCCCAAUAUUUUUACCUCGGAAUGUUGAGGAAUAUAUGUGCUUUUCCUCCUGCCUUUCAGAAGCGAAAAGUAUUUAGAAUUCCCAAAUGCUCCAUGGAAUACGGUGCACUUGAAAACACUUCGAAGUUUUCACAGAAACAUAUAUUAGUCCUAAAAGCUCCUCUAGCCUGCAUAUGGGACAGGUGUUAUUGGUCCUAAUUUAAAGAUAGAAAAAAAUAUAGAUUUUUUUAAAAAAUGACAAAGUGACCAGUUUCAAUCUCAUGUUAAAAAUCCAGAACCUUUAUACAACCCCAGAAGCAGAAAGCCGAAGUCUUUGUUUUCUCCCCAGUUAGAAGUCUUAACAAUUUUAGGUUUAUGCUGUUUUAAGAUACAGUGAAUCAGGUCCCUACCACUUAAUUUGUUUUUCAAGAUCCACAAACAAAAAGAGUGAAAGUAUUGCCCCCUCCCCAAACUCAUUACUUGACUGAGUGCUGAAAAUAGUUUUGUGAUAGAAGAUGAUUUCUUUUUAUUUAGCCAAGGUUCAGAAAUGGCUUCUCAAGGACGGGAACUAGCCAACCAUUUCCAGAAUGUGGGCACCCCAGUGAUGGUCGGUAAGCUGCUGUGGACAUGUUGGGAUCUUAGGCAGGGUGGAGAACAAGGAAAAUGUAUUUGCAUUCUUAAUGUUACAUAAAAACAAGUCAUUUUAAACAUCUUAAAAUUGGCUUUGGAGAGAUGGCUUAAUGGUUAAGAACACUGGUGGCUUUUCCAGAAGACCUGGGUUCACCAGUGCCCACCUGGUGGCUCACAAGCAUCUGUGGUUCCAGUUCCAGGGAGUCCAGUGCCUCUGCUGGUCUCUACAGGAAGUGCAUCACAUGGCGCACAGACAAAGAUGCAGGCAAAACACACACACACACACACACACACACACGCACAUGUAUAUACAUAUAUAUGUAUGUGUAUAUAUAUAAUAUAAUAAAAAUUUAAACAUUUUAAAGUAAACUUAUACACACUAUUCUUUGGAUUUUAGUUUCCAAAGGGUAGCAAUGAUG